GUUCCUCCAGGAUGUUGAUCAUACAACAGAAUUCUUUCUGGAAAAUAGCGAGUAUCAUGAGGAUUUGCACAUUCAGGAGCCAAGUCUGACAUGUUGCAUAUAAUGCGUAAUGGCACUACAUUCAGAAGAGCAUGUGAAGCAGCAUGCAAGCCUGCACGAAAGUCAAAGUUUUUCCUUUUCACCUCUUCUUUUAUUGAUUGUGGUACUGGAAUCCAGACUGCCUGCUGAGAGUUAUACGAAUAUUUUGGAAGUGAGAGAUCCACUGUGUCAAUAAUUUGAUUACUUCCUUUCUGUAUUUGAUAGAAACCAAACCAAGUGGUGGUAACUCUGCAAUCAUUUGCUUGUGCA
rnacentral:misc_RNA from 1 species